AAUUCUCAACCUUAUUAGCCUUUGCUGAUAAUGGCUUGGACGUGGGGGUUUUCUCUUUUGCUGGCUUCUUUUACAGAGGUCAGCUCCCCUUAAAUGCAUUAGCCGGUGCUCCGCGUGGACUGUCUAUUUGGUGUGAUAAUUAUCUACGCCAUGCAUGGAUGUCUGCUUAGCACUGCUUCUAACCGUCUCUGACAAUACAUGACA
rnacentral:misc_RNA from 1 species